GGCGGGGAUAAAGAAAAAGGAGCGGGGCCAGCACAAACCACGCCCACUUUUCAGAAAACCCCACCCUGUAUGCAAAUUUCCCCUCCAUUUAUUCAAAGCCCCGCCCCUUUUUUCCUCUCUCCCAAUAGCUGGAGCGCGUCUGCCGAAGCCACGCCCCCCCCGGGCUCCGCCCCAACCCUCGGCCAAUCCUGCGCUGGUAUUUGACCGAGAUCGGCCACGCCCCUCCAGAGCCGGUGCCACGUCCACUUCCUGUCUCGCCGGUCCCGGUGAGGCACCGCCCCCUCCGCCGCAGGCUCCGCCCCCUCCGCUUCUCCCCCUACGGCGGGCGGAAGCCGCUUUUGAUUGACAGCUCCCCCAACCAAUCGCGAGCGCGGAGAACCCGGAAGUUCUUUGCGAACUACAAACGCCGCCAUUUUUGACGCGGGCAAAGGGCGGGCGCUGCUUUGUGAUUAGCUGGAAGGAACCGGAAGCGCUUCGGCCGCCAUUUUGUUUUUGGGCACUGAGGGCUCCGCGCGCUCCCGCUGAAAGCACCGGAGCCUCCGCCACGAUGCUGAUCAAAGUCAAGACGCUGACGGGGAAAGAAAUCGAGAUCGACAUCGAACCCACGGACAA